AUUAGUUUCGAAAAGAUACAGUGAAGACCAGGGAAAGAUUCUCUCUUCGAUUGAACGAGCUUAAACACGGGUUGUUCAAUAAUCAUAACAGCUGUUGCUUUUCUUCUUUGCCUUUCAUAUUCAAGUGCAUCACCGGUUUCUGACAGGAUCUCUACCAACCUUGAAGUGCAUAGGCGCAUAG